GCCUUCGUGGUGUAGUGGUCAGCACGCUUGCCGCGUAUUUAAGAGGUUCGUGGUUCCAAUCCCGACCAGGGCA
rfam:Stegodyphus mimosarum contig47457, whole genome shotgun sequence.